ensembl:lncRNA
CAAAAGGAUGCGUGUUGAUGUUGCAAUGCCAGCUAAGCUUCAGAUAUCUGACGUAAAGAAGUCUGAUGAAGGAAACUACACCUGUGAUAUGAGAACAAAGGCAGGAUCAAUAUCCAAAAAUUGGACGUUAAUAAUAGUUUUAAUUUCAGAGGAACCUCUGGCUGAUGAGCAGAAGGAGUUUGUAGGUGACGUGUGGGAGAUUCUGUUUUUACUCCUCAGAGUGUUCAUCUACACAAGUGUGAUUUCCAUCGCCUGCUGCAUAACCAAACACAGAUAUCAGGGCUGUUUAUCAGCAGGAUGUGCCAAUCAACAUACUCAAGACACAGAGGACAGCAGAGUGUGAGGGAGUGCUGUUCUUACACUUUAC